CAUACAUACACACACUCACACACGCACACCAAUCAGAGUGAAUUUAAUAUCAAGGAAAAGUGAAUGGAUAUUUAAAACAGACAAAACACCAACUUCUCUGAAGCCUACGACACAAUGAGAAUAUUGCAAGGAAUGCCGUGGCAGCUGCAACUUUAUCUGCAUUACGACGUCUCUUUGGGAAUGAAUAUGAUAUGGCUAAUCCUUGAAAGGAUAGACAUGUGCGCUGUUCCGAGCAACAGGAAGAAGACAUUAGUUUAGCUAAAAUUGCUUUCUUUUCCCGGCGAAAAUCUGUCUUUGUGUGAAAGGAGAGAGAGAAAAAAAGGGGAAAAUAGAAGGAAAAGGAAAGGAAAAAUACGAAAGCGUUGGGUAAAUUCUGCUGCACCGAUUUAAUAAAAUACUGGAGGAAAAUGUGUUCCUAAUGAAAGCGGUGCAAAAUAUGCCCUUUGAAAAGACAUUAAGGCCUCGCCAUAAAAUUCUUGGAUUUUCAGGCCUUAAAAGGGAGACCCUAAGAAGGCGGAAAUAAUUAAAAACGAGAUAGAUACUUUGUGAGGAAUGCCGUGCCCUGACGCCAAGGGAAGGGUGACGAGCCUGAGUAACUGGCUUCUGAUGCUCUCUCUGGGACGGUAAGCGCGGGGCCCGUGUGCGCCAGAAUGCGAGCCGGAAUGAGCCGGUGAAGCCCCAGGGCGCGAAAGAGGGACUUCAGUGGAAAUCGUUACGGGAGGUCAUCGGCGUCCGG